GACGAACGCUGGCGGCGUGCUUAACACAUGCAAGUCGAACGGAAAGGCCCUGCUUUUGUGGGGUGCUCGAGUGGCGAACGGGUGAGUAACACGUGAGUAACCUGCCCUUGACUUUGGGAUAACUUCAGGAAACUGGGGCUAAUACCGGAUAGGAGCUCCUGCUGCAUGGUGGGGGUUGGAAAGUUUCGGCGGUUGGGGAUGGACUCGCGGCUUAUCAGCUUGUUGGUGGGGUAGUGGCUUACCAAGGCUUUGACGGGUAGCCGGCCUGAGCGGGUGACCGGCCACAUUGGGACUGAGAUACGGCCCAGACUCCUACGGGAGGCAGCAGUGGGGAAUAUUGCACAAUGGGCGGAAGCCGGAUGCAGCAACGCCGCGUGCGGGAUGACGGCCUUCGGGUUGUAAACCGCUUUCGCCUGUGACGAAGCGUGAGUGACGGUAAUGGGUAAAGAAGCACCGGCUAACUACGUG
rnacentral:rRNA from 1 species